rnacentral:lncRNA from 1 species
GCGGGAAAAGAGACCGAAAGAAUGGAAACAUUCUAUCAGAAGUAAAGAAUGUAGAUAAGGAAGAUUGAAACAUUGGAUCUAAAAUGAAAUUAUCGAGAAGUCACCUCAAGCAAAAGGUGUGUUAAUAUACCAUCAAGUAUGAAACCCACAUCUUCUAAGAAGGCAUCCUAAGCUUGUUGCCCAUGAGACUGAUCUAAAAACAAAUUAGAAACCCUUGUUCAAGAAUUAGUUUCCAGAAUUUUAGCUCUCAUAGUAAAAAUUUUAUAUAUCACA